GCGGGCGCCGCGGAGGAGGCAGAGGCGGCGCAGGGCUCCCAGGCCGCCUGUAGGCCACGGGCCUGCUCCGGGACGAAUGGGACCCCGGGUUCGGUGGAUCAGUCGCUUGCGACCUGAAGUUACUGGGCUCCGUUAGAAGCGCAAAAAAUUAAAAGAUGACGGAGGGCCGCCGAUGUCAAGUACAUCUCCUUGAUGACAGAAAGCUGGAACUCCUAGUACAGGAAUUCCUGCCUCGGCCAAGGGCUCAGGAAGAUGCUUGCUGAGGUUGAGAACAGACAAAGGGACUCAGCAUUAAGAACCUUCUGUCCAGGACCUCCCAGGCCACCAGGCCACCUCAUCAGC